GGUUAAAAAUUUCAUCAAUUUGUACGGUUAAAAUCUGAUGUGGUUGACAGAAUAAUCAGACAAUGACAUGACGUGUCACGUGUAUCUCAUGCUGACAUACAAUGACCAAUUUUUAAUAGAAAAUGAAUGAAAUUUUUAAUA
rfam:Gossypium raimondii Chr05_contig_26, whole genome shotgun sequence.